GGAUCGAUGUCGUAACGUUUGACAUGGAGCGGGUCCGUUGCGGCUAGAGGUUUUUGAUGAACCCGGCGUCAAUCAGCAGGCGAUUGAAGCGCCGCGCCUCCGCACCGUCCUUGCAGGAAUAAAACAGACCCUUGCAUCGGAGCAUGAUCUUCUUCUGCUCCUCAAAGGAUGGAUCGAGCGGAAUACCGGCGGCGUCCUGAAUAACCAGCGGCAGAUAGGCCGCGUCGAUCGUCUCCAUCGCGGUCGGGCUGCCGACCGGCUUAAAGUUGACGGAGUCGAUCGCGUAAUAGGUCGCAUAAUAGCGCGGGUCAUAGACCAUCAGGCGCCUGGCAAUGUCACCCUCGGUCAGAUUCG
rnacentral:misc_RNA from 1 species